AGUGAACGUUUGCGGCGGGCUUAACACAUGCAAGUCGAACGGGCUGUUCCUUUGGGGGCAGUCAGUGGCGCACGGGUGCGUAACGCGUAGGUAAUCAACCCUCUGGUUGGGGAUAACACUUCGAAAGGAGUGCUAAUACCCGGUAUGGCGCAGCGGUCUUCGGAUCGCGGCGAGAAAGACCCGCAAGGGUUGCCAGAGGACGAGCCUGCGGCCCAUCAGCUAGUUGGCGAGGUAACGGCUCACCAAGGCGAAGACGGGUAGCUGGUCUGAGAGGAUGAUCAGCCACACUGGAACUGAGACACGGUCCAGACUCCUACGGGAGGCAGCAGUGGGGAAUAUUGCGCAAUGGGCGAAAGCCUGACGCAGCCACGCCGCGUGAGCGAUGAAGGCCUCGGUCGUAAGACUCUGUGGGAGGAGAAGAAUAAAGACCUGUGAAGAGCAGGCCUUGACGGUAGUCUCCUUAG
rnacentral:rRNA from 1 species